GGGCUUUUCCAUUAGUUCUU
rnacentral:misc_RNA from 1 species